AUAAGCGGAGGAAAAGAAACUAACAAGGAUUCCCCUAGUAACUGCGAGUGAAGCGGGAUAAGCUCAAAUUUAAAAUCUGGUAGCUUCGCUGCCCGAGUUGUAAUCUGGAGAAGUGCUUUCCGUGCUGGACCGUGUACAAGUCUCUUGGAACAGAGCGUCAUAGAGGGUGAGAAUCCCGUCUUUGACACGGACUACCAGUGCUUUGUGAUGCGCUCUCAAAGAGUCGAGUUGUUUGGGAAUGCAGCUCAAAAUGGGUGGUAAAUUCCAUCUAAAGCUAAAUAUUGGCGAGAGACCGAUAGCGAACAAGUACCGUGAGGGAAAGAUGAAAAGAACUUUGGAAAGAGAGUUAAACAGUACGUGAAAUUGCUGAAAGGGAAACGCUUGAAGUCAGUCGCGUUGGCCGGAACUCAGCCUGGCUUUGGCUUGGUGCAUUUUCUGGUCGACGGGUCAGCAUCAGUUUUGAUCGUCGGAUAAUGGUUGGGGGAAUGUGGCAUCUUCGGAUGUGUUAUAGCCCUCGGUCGCAUACGAUGGUUGGGACUGAGGAUCUCAGCACACCUUUAUGGUCGGGGUUCGCCCACGUUUGUGCUUAGGAUGCUGGCAUAAUGGCUUUAAACGACCCGUCUUGAAACACGGACCAAGGAGUCUAACAUGCAUGCGAGUGUUUGGGUGGAAAACCCGAGCGCGCAAUGAAAGUGAAAGUUGAGAUCCCUGUCGUGGGGAGCAUCGACGCCCGGACCAGACCUUCUGUGACGGCUCUGCGGUGGAGCAUGUAUGUUGGGACCCGAAAGAUGGUGAACUAUGCCUGAAUAGGGUGAAGCCAGAGGAAACUCUGGUGGAGGCUCGUAGCGAUUCUGACGUGCAAAUCGAUCGUCAAAUUUGGGUAUAGGGGCGAAAGACUAAUC
rnacentral:rRNA from 2 species